AUUGAACGCUGGCGGCAUGCCAUACACAUGCAAGUCGAACGGCAGCACGGGAGCAAUCCUGGUGGCGAGUGGCGAACGGGUGAGUAAAGUAUCGGAACGUGCCCAGUCGUGGGGGAUAACGUAGCGAAAGUUACGCUAAUACCGCAUACGAUCUAUGGAUGAAAGCGGGGGAUCGCAAGACCUCGCGCGAUUGGAGCGGCCGAUAUCAGAUUAGGUAGUUGGUGGGGUAAAGGCUCACCAAGCCGACGAUCUGUAGCUGGUCUGAGAGGACGACCAGCCACACUGGGACUGAGACACGGCCCAGACUCCUACGGGAGGCAGCAGUGGGGAAUUUUGGACAAUGGGCGAAAGCCUGAUCCAGCCAUGCCGCGUGCAGGAUGAAGGCCUUCGGGUUGUAAACUGCUUUUGUAUGGAACGAAAAGGUUUGGCCUAAUAAGCUGAGCUCAUGACGGUACCGUAAGAAUAAGCACCGGCUAACUACGUGCCAGCCGCCGCGGUAA
rnacentral:rRNA from 1 species